CCUCAUACAUGCAAGUCGAGCGAGAACGUUACUUCGGUAGCUAGUAAAGCGGCGGACGGGUGAGUAACGCGUAGGAAUCUACCUUUCAGCGGGGGAUAGCUCGGGGAAACCCGAAUUAAUACCGCAUACACCCUAAGGGGGAAAGAGGGCCUAUCCUUGGAAGCUCUCGCUGUUAGAUGAGCCUGCGUGAGAUUAGUUUGUUGGUGGGGUAAUGGCCUACCAAGACUACGAUCUCUAGCUGGUCUGAGAGGACGAUCAGCCACACUGGGACUGAGACACGGCCCAGACUCCUACGGGAGGCAGCAGUAGGGAAUAUUGGACAAUGGGGGCAACCCUGAUCCAGCUAUGCCGCGUGUGUGAAGAAGGCUCUAGGGUUGUAAAGCACUUUAGGUAAGGACGAAAAGAAUAUAGUUAAUACCUAUAUUCCGUGACUUAACUUACAGAAUAAGGACCGGCUAACUCCGUGCCAGCAGCCGCGGUAAUACGGAGGGUCCAAGCGUUAAUCGGAAUUACUGGGCGUAAAGCGCGCGUAGGCGGUUUGUCAAGUUGGAUGUGAAAUCCCUGGGCUCAACCUAGGAACUGCAUUCAAAACUUAUAGACUAGAGUACGAUAGAGGAGAGUAGAAUUCCUGGUGUAGCGGUGAAAUGCGUAGAUAUCAGGAGGAAUACCAAUGGCGAAGGCAACUCUCUGGAUCGACACUGACGCUGAGGUGCGAAAGCGUGGGUAGCAAACAGGAUUAGAUACCCUGGUAGUCCACGCCGUAAACGAUGAGAACUAGCCG
rnacentral:rRNA from 1 species